rnacentral:rRNA from 1 species
GAUGAACGCUGGCGGCGUGCCUAAUACAUGCAAGUCGAGCGAACAGACGAGGAGCUUGCUCCUCUGACGUUAGCGGCGGACGGGUGAGUAACACGUGGAUAACCUACCUAUAAGACUGGGAUAACUUCGGGAAACCGGAGCUAAUACCGGAUAAUAUAUUGAACCGCAUGGUUCAAUAGUGAAAGACGGUUUUGCUGUCACUUAUAGAUGGAUCAGCGCCGCAUUAGCUAGUUGGUAAGGUAACGGCUUACCAAGGCAACGAUGCGUAGCCGACCUGAGAGGGUGAUCGGCCACACUGGAACUGAGACACGGUCCAGACUCCUACGGGAGGCAGCAGUAGGGAAUCUUCCGAAAUGGGCGAAAGCCUGAUGGAGCAACGCCGCGUGAGUGAUGAAGGUCUUCGGAUCGUAAAACACUGUUAUUAGGGAAGAACAAAUGUGUAAGUAACUAUGCACGUCUUGACGGUACCUAAUCAGAAAGCCACGGCUAACUACGU